rnacentral:rRNA from 1 species
UACGGAGGAUCCGAGCGUUAUCCGGAUUUAUUGGGUUUAAAGGGCGCGCAGGCGGGGGAUUAAGUCGGCGGUGAAAUUUUGCAGCUCAACUGUAAAAGUGCCUUCGAAACUGGUUUCCUUGAGUGUAGAUGAAGUAGGCGGAAUUUGUGGUGUAGCGGUGAAAUGCUUAGAUAUCACGAGGAACUCCGAUUGCGCAGGCAGCUUACUAAACUACUACUGACGCUCAGGCACGAAGGCGUGGGGAUCAAACAGGAUUAGAUACCCUGGUAGUCCCU